rfam:Schistosoma mansoni, Puerto Rico, WGS project CABG01000000 data, contig: 0199
AUGCAGCUGACGAGCCCCAAAUAGGACUGAAUGCGCAUCCUGGAU